rnacentral:rRNA from 1 species
UACGUAGGGGGCGAGCGUUGUCCGGAUUUAUUGGGCGUAAAGAGCGUGUAGGCGGCCAGGUAGGUCUGCUGUGAAAACUCGAGGCUCAACCUCGAGACGUCGGCGGAAACCAUCUGGCUAGAGUCCGGAAGAGGAGAGUGGAAUUCCUGGUGUAGCGGUGAAAUGCGCAGAUAUCUGGAGGAACACCGGUGGCGAAGGCGGCAUUCUGGACCGGCAUUGACGCUGAGGCGCGAAAGCCAGGGGAGCAAACGGG